CCUACGGGGGGCAGCAGUGGGGAAUAUUGGGCAAUGGAGGAAACUCUGACCCAGCAACGCCGCGUGAAUGAUGAAGGUCUUAGGAGUGGAAAGUUGUUUUCGAAGGGGAGAAGACAGUGACAGUACCUUAGGAAUAAGCCUCGGCUAACUACGUGCCAGCAGCCGCGGUAAUACGUAGGAGGCGAGCGUUAUCCGGAAUGACUGGGUGUAAAGGGUGCGUAGGUGGUUUGGCAAGUUAGUGGCGUAACCCCAAGGCUCAACCUUGGAACUACUACUAAAACUGUUGGACUUGAGUGCAGGUGCGGCAGCCGGAAUGCAUAGUGUAGCGGUGGAAUGCGUAGAGAUCAGAAGGAACACCAGUUGCGAAGGCAGGUUGCUAGACUGUAACUGACACUGAGGCACGAAAGCGUGGGGAGCAAACAGGAUUAGAUACCCGAGUAGUC
rnacentral:rRNA from 1 species